GCCGCCGCCGCGCUGGUUGCAUGGCAACAGCCCACCGGAAGGGGCCCCUUCCCCGCGCGGUGCACGCCGGGAGUUGUAGUCCCGCCGCCCCUGAGCGCCCUCAGUGGCUGCAGCCGCGGCACUACCGCUCCCAGCGUGCCCCGCGGCAAGCCAAGAUGGCGGCGCUCUCCGCGGCGGGCGGGGAGUGAGGUGUGAGGGGGAGCUCUGGGGCUCGGUAGCGGCGGCGGUGGGGUCAGUGCGGCCCCGGGGUCCCCCCCACCGCCGGGGGGAAGCGUCCGUGCUGGGGGAUGAGGACGAGCGCUGGUUGCUCGUCCGGAUGGGGCCCGCUGCCGUGGUGAACGUGUAUAUAUACACAGUUCUCAGGCACGUCACUGCUGGGAGAGCCAGGUGGAGAGUCCCAGCUCCGCGUCUGACUCCUCCAUUGAAUCCUCCUGAGCUGAGGCUGUGCCCUGCAGCCCCUGUCCUGCCUCCUCCUGCAUUACUGCAGCACAAGAUGCUCCCUGCGAGCCACUGGCAUCCAGGAAACGAGGGGGUUGGAGCUGCAGCCUCGUUGAGAGGAGGAUGGCGCUGGCUGUGGUGAAGGAGGAAGGACUCGAGUGUCUCACUGGUGCAAGAGGUCACUGAAGGCAGAGGAAACAGGGUCCAAAGUGCGAAAGAGGAGCUGGAGAGGGAACCUGGAGCGAGGUGAAUGCCCUUCCUGUGC
rnacentral:lncRNA from 1 species